CACGUAGGGCGCAAGCGUUGUCCGGAAUUACUGGGCGUAAAGCGUGCGUAGGUGGUGAGUUAAGUCUGUCGUGAAAGCCCCGGGCUCAACCUGGGAAUGGCGAUGGAUACUGGCUCGCUAGAGUGCGGUAGAGGAGAGUGGAAUUCCCGGUGUAGCAGUGAAAUGCGUAGAGAUCGGGAGGAACAUCAGUUGCGAAGGCGGCUCUCUGGACCAGCACUGACACUGAGGCACGAAAGCGUGGGGAGUAAACAGG
rnacentral:rRNA from 1 species